rnacentral:rRNA from 1 species
AUUGAACGCUGGCGGAAUGCUUUACACAUGCAAGUCGACGGCAGCACGGACUUCGGUCUGGUGGCGAGUGGCGAACGGGUGAGUAAUGUAUCGGAACGUGCUCAGUCGUGGGGGAUAACGUAGUGAAAAUUACGCUAAUACCGCAUACGAUCUAUGGAUGAAAGUGGGGGAUCGCAAGACCUCGCGCGAUUGGAGCGGCCGAUAACAGAUUAGGUAGUUGGUGGGGUAAAGGCCCACCAAGCCAACGAUCUGUAGCUGGUCUGAGAGGAGGACUAGCUACACUGGAAGAGAGACACGGUCCAGAUUCCGACGGGAGGCAGCAGUGGGGAAUUUUAGACAAUGGGGGAAAGCCUAAUCCAGCAAUUCCGCGUGCAGCAUGAAGGCCCUCGGGUUGUAAACUGCUUUUGUACAGAACGAAAAGGUUUCUACUAAUACUAGGAGCUCAUGACGGUACUGUAAUAAUAAGCCCCGGCUAACUACGUGCCAGCCGCCGCCGUAA